rnacentral:rRNA from 1 species
GUGAUCAUACCAGCACUAAUGCACCGGAUCCCAUCAGAACUCCGAAGUUAAGCUUGCUUGGGCGAGGGCAGUACUAGGAUGGGUGACCCCCUGGGAAGUAUUAUCCACCGCAGCUU